AACGAACGCUGGCGGCAUGCCUAACACAUGCAAGUCGAACGAGACCUUCGGGUCUAGUGGCGCACGGGUGCGUAACGCGUGGGACCCUGCCCUUAGGUUCGGAAUAACUCCCCGAAGGGGGUGCUAAUACCGGAUAAUGUCUUCGGACCAAAGAUUUAUCGCCUUUGGUUGGGCCCGCGUUGGAUUAGCUAGUUGGUAGGGUAAAAGCCUACCAAGGCGACGAUCCAUAGCUGGUCUGAGAGGAUGAUCAGCCACACUGGGACUGAGACACGGCCCAGACUCUUACGGGAGGCAGCAGUGGGUAAUACUGGACUACCGGCGAAAGCCUGAUCCACCUAUGCCGCGUGAGUGAUGUAGUCCUUAGGGUAGUAAAGCUCUUUUACCCGGGAUGAUAAUGACAGUACCGGGAGAAUAAGCUCCGGCUAACUCCGUG
rnacentral:rRNA from 1 species